GACGAACGCUGGCGGCAUGCCUAACACAUGCAAGUCGAGCGAGCAGAACCCUUCGGGGUGAAGCUAGCGGCGGACGGGUGAGUAACACGUGGGCAACCUGCCUCAUAGAGGGGAAUAGCCUUCCGAAAGGAAGAUUAAUACCGCAUAAGAUUGUAGCUUCGCAUGAAGCAGCAAUUAAAGGAGCAAUCCGCUAUGAGAUGGGCCCGCGGCGCAUUAGCUAGUUGGUGAGGUAACGGCUCACCAAGGCGACGAUGCGUAGCCGACCUGAGAGGGGGAUCGGCCAAAUUGGGACUGAGACACGGCCCAGAGUCCUACGGGAGGCAGCAGUGGGGAAUAUUGCACAAUGGGGGAAACCCUGAUGCAGCAAUGCCGCGUGAGUGAUGACGGCCUUCGGGUUGUAAAGCUCUGUCUUCGGGGACGAUAAUGGCGGUACCCGAGGAGGAAGCCACGGCUAACUACGUGCCAGCCGCCGCCGUAA
rnacentral:rRNA from 1 species